GAGUGUGGGAAAUUCCACCUCUUUCAAGACGUUUGCACAGCCAGCGUGGAGGAGUAGGCCAACAACCUAUUUACAAAAAAGGGAUUAUCUAGAGCUCCCUCGUGUGGUGGGUGGCCUCUAUCCGCCAGCAGUGAGCAAGCAAUUGCAGGGCUGCGCCUUUAGCCUUUUUAUAACCGUGCCACCAUGCAUCGCGUGCAUUUAAAUGACGCGCUGCGCCGUUACAUUGAGGCUUAACGGAGACAGACCCCAACCACGGACCAUGUAAUCAUACAAGUGACAGGCAUCACGCACACACACACAGCGGCACGAGCCACAUCCACGACAGCCCCCGUCUGUCGCCUCCACGGACUCCCGGGACAUCAUCGCCUUACCUGGGGGAGUGGUGAGGAUGUGAGUGAUGCUGGGUGUCGAUGGGUGUGAGAAGAGGUGGCAGACAGCCAGAAGAAGUGGCGAAGGGGUGGAGGGCGUUGGAAGAGGUUGCCAUCGCUGCCUGCGCUUCCGUCCGCAGAGACGAGGUGAUGGUGGUCGUGAUGUGAUGAUGAUGAUGAUGCAAGUGAUGGUGGUGAUUCUGAUGUAAUGAUGCAGCGAAGAUGAAGGUCGUGAUGUAAUCAUGCGGUCAUGCUGGUGACCGUGAUGUGAUGAUGAUGAUGCAGCGAAGAUGAAGGCGGUGACGUAAUGAUGCGCAAUACGAGGACGUUCAUAGUCUCGCGCAUGUCACCAAACGAAUCAACGUGUGUACAGAGGUUAAGGCGCAGCCCUGCAAUGCCUCGCUCACGCCACUGCUGGCGAUGGGUCGUACACUCGAGUGCGUUCAAGGGAGCCCGCCUAGAUUGGGAGAUGAUUUGACCGCAUCUUCCACGCUGACCUACCGUCUUGACAGAGCACGGGAACGGGGCCGCAGAGUUCAGGAAAUAAUGAAUGGAGAAAGAUAAACGAACGGGAGAGGGAAGAGAGAAGCGAACGCGUGGAAGUUGAGAGGAUAAGGAAGUAUUGAAAAGGAACGGAGAUACGGGAGCAAAGGGUCAGGGGAGAUGAGGAUCGGGAGGAAGAGGCUGCAUCAGGACCUCGACGCUGCUGCUGCUGCCGCACGGAGGAGCGGCGUCUAAUUUCAAAGGGUGGGGGUGGGGGGGGGCACACACAAGUCACGUGAUUUACGGGAGGCUUGACCUGAUUUGGAUAAAUAGAUGAGACAUGGAUCUGAAGCGUGGGUAAAUAAAAAUGUAAGGAGUACACGAGGUGAACACAAUCAGAUUAAUGACAUCGUUAAAACUCAAGAAGAAGUGAGUGGGCCUGCUCAGGACACGCCGCUGCGAGUGAUGGUGGCUAGUGGCCAAGGAUAAUGACGGAGCUGGCAGCAAAGGUUAGAGAGAGGGAAUGCAUCCGGGAAGACGACGUCCGCCGUGGAGAUGGAGCCAAAUAAAGCGACUCGAGUGCAGGCCCCGUGUGGAUUGUUACAUCGCAGGAUCGUGAAUAAUGGGGGGGGGGGGGUGGGCUUUGGAAUGCCUUCAUCCAGCAGUGGAUUGACCAUGACUCAAUAAUCACGAUGUUGCUUCUCUACACGACAUGUAUGUUGAGCACCGUACGUGCGGGGGAAGAACAACAAAACUGCUAGCCACAAAGGACAAACACUUGUGUACUCCUAGACGUUAUGCGUGAAAGUGGAAAGUGUAUUACCUAGAUAGGACUUACAGCUACGAAACAAUGCGUUGCCUGUAAAUAUAGGGUGAGCAGACGGUUUCGAAAGUGGGUUGUUACGAACAGAAGAACGUAUAGUUCUAGUGUUAUCUCCUCUGGUUUAUGUGUUUUCCCCGGGAACUCCCGGUCUGGUGUCAUACUCAAAGUGCCUACAUUUAAAUGAAAUGGAUCUGCCAUCCAAGAAGAGUUAUCUUGCCAAUACCAUGUUGUAGACCUCCAGCGUUCCUUGUCAUGAGCCUGACUGCUGGUAGAGUUAUAAUAACCGACAGGUUACAAAAGAAUAACGUGUCCAUCACAUCGUGGCUUCAAUGGGAAACCAUAUAUACAAACAUACCCUGUCAUCCCAUACAUUUUACCUGGAUUCUUGUACAGGGAAAUUGAGUUUUCAGGUGCUAAAGGCGUAUAGCCGUUUCAAUACGGGCAAAAAAAUGUGUCUAUUUGUUGGUGUUUAUCUCCCUUGUGAUGGGCCUUUAUAGGAUGA